rnacentral:rRNA from 1 species
GAAUCCUUGUUAUGAGUGGCGUGGUCUUUUGUCAGGAAAUCAGUUCUACGGGAGAGGGAGAAAGGAAUCUCUUUCGAGAAUCGCGAGCGCUCAAAAGCCCCAACGGGGAGGAGUGACAAUAAAUAUAUAGGGGUUCUUUUGGGUCCCAUAGGGAAUGAUUUCCACUUACAUCCCUUAACGAGGAACAAUUGGAGGGCAAAUUUGGUGGCCCCGCCGCGGUAACUCCCGCAUCAAAGCGGAAAUCAAAGUUGUUGUCCUUAAAAAACUUUUUUUGAAACUGGGGGCUGGAAAGCGCGUUUUCUUUCAGGAGAGAAUGGCCGGGCCGGCCUCCCCCCGGGGAGGCCGGGCGGCCCCCCCGGGGGUUUGCGGGGAGGCCGAAUUUUACCCUCAAGAAAAAAAGCGUGGCCCGGCUGCUUUUUUCCUAACAACAUUUUAACGGGAAAACAAUUAAAAACCCCGUUUAGACUGGGAGGACUUCCGGAGGCUCGCACAAGAAUAACCCCGCAAAUUGGCGGGGUUUAAGGGAUUUGAAGUGUUAUGGGUACCAACUUUGGGGACCCCGAAAAAGCCCCCCAUGGGUAUAAAAAUUUCCCCACCUACUCUCUUUUAUAAAAAGGAGAAAUUGGGGGGGGGGGUGAAAAAAAUUGGAAAGUGGGGGGCCGUUUUUUUUAGGCUCCCAUUUAGGGGAGAAAAAAAGCUUUUUUCCCCCCCGUUCUCUCUUUUGUAAACCCCCGGGGGGGGCGUCCUUUUUGCGACCCAACAGAAAAGGUGUUGGGUCCCCCCCCGGGCUGUUUCCGACAAGGCCACUCCCUCGCCCCCGUGACAUACAUAGAGCCUAUUUGUCUGAUACUACCCUUCAAAGAGAGUUUGAUGUACGAGGAUUUACCACGCAGCGAGCGAGCAAUCCUGCCAGGACCCGGUGAAAUAGUCCGAGUCAUCCAUUUUUGGUUCUUUUAGGAAAACUUUUAAGUGAAAACCCGAAGCCCCGUAGUAUUUUUUUUUCUUUUGGGGGGGGGGGUUUUCGGGGGACCCCCUCUUUCCAGGGAUUUUUUUUGCCCAUUUUUU